UACGUAGGGCGCAAGCGUUGUCCGGAAUUAUUGGGCGUAAAGAGCUCGUAGGCGGUCUGUUACGUCCGCUGUGAAAACCCAGGGCUUAACCCUGGGCUUGCAGUGGAUACGGGUAGACUAGAGGCAGGUAGGGGAGAAUGGAAUUCCCGGUGUAGCGGUGAAAUGCGCAGAUAUCGGGAGGAACACCGGUGGCGAAGGCGGUUCUCUGGGCCUUACCUGACGCUGAGGAGCGAAAGCGUGGGGAGCGAACAGG
rnacentral:rRNA from 1 species